AAUUGAGAGACCUUCAAGUGCUUUAGAAAUGACCUCAUCACCUGAACAGCCCUGAGGCCCCUCAAGGAUAGCUUCAACUGUUCUCAAAGAUGCUAUCACAACCCUUCUAUUGCUUCCACACAUAAACAAUAUCUCACACAUGCCUCUUACCAAUGCUCUUGAUUUUUUCCCUUCACUUAGAGACGAAAAAAUAUCAGCUCCAGCAGAAUCUUUAUUAGCCAAUCUUCUCGAACCCACAUUGCCAGACAAGCUAGGUGAAACCAUAUUUAAAUCAUCCGAGAAAAACAAUAGGUGCUUCAGAACAAAAGCCUGUAUUGCUGCUAGCACCCCACA
rnacentral:misc_RNA from 1 species